rnacentral:misc_RNA from 1 species
AUUGUUAGAAGAGCAAAUAGAAAGUUGUAAGAAAUUGUUUCAGGAGGCACAACCCAAAAGUCGACUUCAAGAUAUGGAGCUGAAAUCCCAAAUUCCAGAGGGUUUUGUGGAAAAUGAAAAGAAAACAAAAAAUGUUGCAGCCUUUACUGAUGAAGAUGCAUUGGAAUUGUGUCUUGCACAAGGAGGGAAAACAUUACAAGAUCUAAAGCAGGAUUUUCUUCCUUAUAUGUCUAAUAUAAGUGAGGUUUCUGAGGAUAAAAAUGAUGAAGAUGUAGAAGACAGCAACCAUGGAAUUGAAGUUUUUUGGGGUGAUGACGGAAUUGGGAAAGAACCAGCAGAGUGUGGCUAAGGAGGAGACUGUCUCUCUUGAUCACAAGAUUCAGGGGAAUGGAGAUGUGAAGAAGUCGAUUCAAAAG